rnacentral:lncRNA from 1 species
GCGGGGACUAAACUGAACAUCAGAACUUAACUUAGGGAUAAAAAAAGGUUUAAACCUAAAGAAUUUAAAACUAGUAAGAAUAACUCUUUUAAAGAGUAAAUAUAAACUCAAGAUAGAAGGUAAAGAGAAGAGAAAAUAAUAAGUGAGAGUGAAAGAAGAAAUAUGUGUUAUGUGUCUUUGGAGGUGAGAAAAAGCACUUAUUUAUGGGUGUAAGGGAUAUAGAUGAGAGAAAAUAUCAUGGAACAAGAUGUGCAACAUUCAAAAAUUAGUUGUAACAACUUUCUUGUUGUGUAAAGAAAAAGGAAAACAUUUGUACAAUUUGUAUACUCUAUUGUGGUCACAUCAACUAUAUUCUUUUGCAAUUGAUUAUCACAACAAUUUCCCACAUAUUGUAAAGGAUAAAAUAUGAAUAAAAGAAGAAAUUCAUGGGUCUUAUAUAAGAUGUAACGUAUCAGAGCAGAUAUAACAAACUAUAUAAAUUCGUCUUAGAUCGAGAA